rnacentral:rRNA from 1 species
AGUGAACGCUGGCGGUAGGCCUAACACAUGCAAGUCGAACGGCAGCACAGUAAGAGCUUGCUCUUACGGGUGGCGAGUGGCGGACGGGUGAGGAAUACAUCGGAAUCUACUUUUUCGUGGGGGAUAACGUAGGGAAACUUACGCUAAUACCGCAUACGACCUACGGGUGAAGGCAGGGGAUCUUCGGACCUCGCGCGAUUGAAUGAGCCGAUGUCGGAUUAGCUAGUUGGCGGGGUAAAGGCCCACCAAGGCGACGAUCCGUAGCUGGUCUGAGAGGAUGAUCAGCCACACUGGAACUGAGACACGGUCCAGACUCCUACGGGAGGCAGCAGUGGGGAAUAUUGGACAAUGGGCGCAAGCCUGAUCCAGCCAUACCGCGUGGGUGAAGAAGGCCUUCGGGUUGUAAAGCCCCUUUGUUGGGAAAGAAAAGCAGCAGGUUAAUACCCCGCUGUUCUGACGGUACCCAAAGAAUAAGCACCGGCUAACUUCGUG